CAAGGCCCUGUCUCAAAAUAAUAAAUAAAUAAAUAAGGGCUGGGAAUAUGGUUCAGUGGUUAAGUGCCCCUAGGUUCAAUCCCUGGUACAAAAAAAAAAAAAAGUGACAGAAAUAAUAUGAAUACAGAAAUGUCAUCCCAGUCACUAAUUAGCCCAGUUACUACCUUCUUUGAACUUGCAAACCAUGAUGUCAAAAUAACAAAGAAAUCUAAUGCUAGUAAAGAUAGCUGACACAAGAAACAAUCAAAACACUAAUUCUCCAGAGGAAAUAAGACUGAUGAAACAUUUAAAUGAAUAUGUUUAAAAUUAUCUAGAUGAAGCUUUCUCAACCUCAGCAUUCCUGACAUUUUGUGCUGGAAAACUGUUGAGCAGAGCCUGUCCUGCACAUUGCAGAAUGUUUAGCAGCAUUCCUGGUUUCCACCACUGGAUGUGAGCAGCAGCUUCCAAGGUCGUUUUGACAACCAAAAAUGUCUCCAGAUAUUGCCAAAUGUCCCUUGUGAGGCAAAAAUCACCCCUAAUUGAGAACCAUUGGUCUGGGUGAAUGAAGGAAUAACUGCCAUGAAAAAGAAGAAUUAUUUGAUGAAGCAAGAGCAGAUGGGUAUGCAAAGGAACCAAACAGAAACUUGGAUUUUAAAAAUAUAGUCACCCACUGCUACAUUGAUGUUUAUAUCAGCUCAAUUCACAAUCGUUAAACUAUGGAACUAGCCUCGGUGCCUUUCAACAGAUGAAUGGAUAAAUAAAAUGUGGUAUAUAUACACAAUGGAAUAUUACUCAGU
rnacentral:lncRNA from 1 species